AUGGAUGCAGCCUCCUUAUCACGGGUGGCCUACGACCACUUCUCCUCCAUCCUUGGCACUGCGACUGCCCAGACCCACUCCAUCUGCCUCGACGCGAUCAACCACAGAAGCUUCGAUCUCCUCAAGCUAGACGCUCCUUUCUCCGAGGAGGAGAUCAGGGACGCGAUCAAGAAGAUCCCAAUGGGCAAGGCACCCGGCCCCGAUGGAUUCACCUUUGAUUUCCUCCGGGCGUGCUGGACAAUCAUCAAGGCAGAUAUCUGCGAGGCCUUCGACAAACUCUAUGCCAUGAACGGGCGUGACUUUCACAAGCUCAAUGAGGCCCUCCUCGUCUUGCUGCCCAAGAAACCUGACGCCACCGCGAUCACCGACUACCGGCCCAUCAGCCUGAUUCACAUCAUCACCAAAUUGUUCGCCAAAGUGCUCUCCUUGCACCUUGACCCCAGGAUGAAGGAGAUCGUCUCUGCCAAUCAAAGCGCUUUCAUGAUUGGCCGCUACGUGCAUGAUAACUUUCUCCUUGUUCAGCAAACUGCCAGGCUCCUCCACAACAACAAGUCACCACAAGUCCUACUGAAGCUUGACAUCGCCAAAGCAUUUGAUACAGUCUCCUGGCCUUUCUUGCUCGAGACUCUGUUGCAUCUUGUCUUUGGUAGGCGCUGGUGCGAGUGGAUCUCCAUUAUCACAUCCACAGCCUCCACUCAUGUCCUCGUUAACGGCAACUAG
rnacentral:rRNA from 1 species